AGUCAUUUAGGAGGAAAACAUGAUGAAGAACACCCUCUUUGGAUAUCAAACGACCAAGUUAAAGGAGGAACUUCGAUGAAAGCAAUCUACCAACAAGGAGCAGCUGACGCACCAGUUUUGGUACUGCUCCACGGCACCGGUGGCGACGAACAGUCGCUGCUAGAAGUAGGCAAAGCCCUUGAUCCCCAAGCGUCACUAUUAGGUAUUCGCGGCAAUGUCUUAGAAAACGGCAUGCCCCGUUACUUCAWACCAGGUCUUGACAUCCUUUGACCACUCUAGAGAUAGAGCUUCCCCUUCGGGGGCAAAGUGACAGGUGGGCAUGGUUGUCGUCAGCUCGUGUCGUGAGAUGUUGGGUUAAGUCCCGCAACGAGCGCAACCCUUAUUGUUAGUUGCCAUCAUUUAGUUGGGCACUCUAGCGAGACUGUCGGUGACAAACCGGAGGAAGGUGGGGAUGACGUCAAAUCAUCAUGCCCCUUAUGACCUGGGCUACACACGUGCUACAAUGGGAAGUACAACGAGUUGCGAAGUCGCCAGGCUAAGCUAAUCUCUUAAAGCUUCUCUCAGUUCGGAUUGUAGGCUGCAACUCGCCUACAUGAAGCCGGAAUCGCUAGUAAUCGCGGAUCAGCACGCCGCGGUGAAUACGUUCCCGGGCCUUGUACACACCGCCCGUCACACCACGAGAGUUUGUAACACCCGAAGUCGGUGAGGUAAUGGAUUUUCAAAUAGCCCCAGCUCAUUUUUCAAGGUCAAGAUUCUUAGCACCGCUUCAUCGACUAA
rnacentral:rRNA from 1 species